UACGGAGGGUGCAAGCGUUAUCCGGAUUCACUGGGUUUAAAGGGUGCGUAGGUGGGUUGGUAAGUCAGUGGUGAAAUCCCCGAGCUUAACUUGGGAACUGCCGUUGAUACUAUCUGCCUUGAAUAUUGUGGAGGUGAGCGGAAUAUGUCAUGUAGCGGUGAAAUGCUUAGAUAUGACAUAGAACACCAAUUGCGAAGGCAGCUCGCUACACAUAUAUUGACUCUGAGGCACGAAAGCGUGGGGAUCAAACAGG
rnacentral:rRNA from 1 species